AUGCAAGUCGAACGGCAGCGGGCCCUUCGGGGUGCCGGCGAGUGGCGAACGGGUGAGUAAUGCAUCGGAACGUACCCGGGAGUGGGGGAUAACCGGCCGAAAGGCUGGCUAAUACCGCAUGAACUCGGAAGAGCAAAGCGGGGGACCUUCGGGCCUCGCGCUCUCGGAGCGGCCGAUGUCCGAUUAGCUAGUUGGUGAGGUAAAGGCUCACCAAGGCGACGAUCGGUAGCGGGUCUGAGAGGACGAUCCGCCACACUGGGACUGAGACACGGCCCAGACUCCUACGGGAGGCAGCAGUGGGGAAUCUUGGACAAUGGGCGCAAGCCUGAUCCAGCAAUGCCGCGUGGGUGAAGAAGGCCUUCGGGUUGUAAAGCCCUUUCGGCGGGGAAGAAAUCGGCCGGGCGAAUAGUUCGGCUGGAUGACGGUACCCGCAGUAGAAGCACCGGCUAACUACGUGCCAGCAGCCGCGGUAAUACGUAGGGUGCGAGCGUUAAUCGGAAUUACUGGGCGUAAAGGAUGCGCAGGCGGCUGUGUAAGACCGGUGUGAAAUCCCCGGGCUCAACCUGGGAAUGGCGCUGGUGACUGCACAGCUCGAGUACGGUAGAGGGGGGUGGAAUUCCUGGUGUAGCAGUGAAAUGCGUAGAGAUCAGGAGGAACACCGAUGGCGAAGGCAGCCCCCUGGGCCUGUACUGACGCUCAUGCACGAAAGCGUGGGGAGCA
rnacentral:rRNA from 1 species